rnacentral:rRNA from 1 species
AACGAACGCUGGCGGCAGGCUUAACACAUGCAAGUCGAACGCCCCGCCAGGGGAGUGGCAGACGGGUGGGUAACGCGUGGGGACAUACCCUUUUCUACGGAAUAGCUUUGGGUUACUGGAAUUAAUACCGUAUACGCCCUACGGGGGAAAGAUUUAUCGGGGAAGGAUUGGACCGCGUUGGAUUAGCUCGUUGGUGGGGUAAAGGCCUACCAAGGCGACGAUCUAUAGCUGGUGUGAGAGGAUGACCAGACACAUUGAGACUGAGACACGGCCCAAACUCCUACGGGAGGCAGCAGAGGGGAAUAUUGGACAAUGGGCGCAAGCCUGAACCAGCCAUGCCGCGUGAGUGAUGAAGGCCUUAGGGUAGUAAAGCACUUUCACCGAUGAAGAUAAUGACGGUAGUCGAAGAAGAAGCCCCGGCUAACUUCGUG